rnacentral:rRNA from 1 species
UACGGGGGGGGUAAGCGUUGUUCGGAAUUACUGGGCGUAAAGGGCUCGUAGGCGGCCAACUAAGUCGGACGUGAAAUCCCUCAGCUUAACUGGGGAACUGCGUCCGAUACUGGAUGGCUUGGAUUUGGGAGAGGGAUGCGGAAUUCCAGGUGUAGCGGUGAAAUGCGUAGAUAUCAGGAGGAACACCGGUGGCGAAGGCGGGAUCCUGGGCCAGUACUGACGCUGAGGAGCGAAAGCGUGGGGAGCAAACAGG